rnacentral:ncRNA from 1 species
GGCCGGAAGAGCCCAGCGCCGAAUCCCCGCCCCGCGGUGUGGCGCGGGAAAUGUGGCGUACGGAAGACCCACUCCCCGGCGCCGCUCGCGGGGGGCCCAAGUCCUUCUGAUCGAGGCCCAGCCCGUGGACAGUGUGAGGACAGUAGCAUCCCCGCAUGCCAGGCCGGUUCUUCCCAGAGUCAGGUUGCUUGGGAAUGCAGGCCAAAGCGGGUGGUAAACUCCAUCUAAGGCUAAAUAUCGGCGUGAGACUGAUAGUCAAACAAGUACUGAAAGACAAAGUUGAAAAGAACUUUGAAGAGAGAGUUCAAGAGGGGGUGAAACUGUUAAGAGGUAAACAGGUAGGGUCCGCGCAGUCUGCCCCCAGAGGAUUCAACCAGGCAGCUGGUGAAACGGAU